CCCAUCCUGGGGGUGAAGCAGCCCCCAAGGGUGGGGCUGCCCGCCCAUUAAAGGGGAACGUGAGAUGGGUUUAGACCGUCGUGAGACAGGUCGGUCUCUACCUGCCGGGGGCGUGGGCCGCCUGAGGGGAAGGUACCCUCAGUACGAGAGGAACGGGGUGCCGUGGCCUCUAGUCUACCGGUUGUCCGGUAGGGCAUCGCCGGGCAGCCACGCCAUAGGGGAUAAGGGCUGAAAGCAUCUAAGCCCGAAGCCCUCCCCGAGACGAGGCGGCCAUUCCCG
rnacentral:rRNA from 1 species